UUAAAUUUUCAUAGUGAAAUCAAAUAUGAAAACAUUUAUUUUUUUUAACAUAUUUGUUUUCUUUUCCAGAACCAAGCAUAGUGAUGGUAGAGAAGUUUGUGGUAGUUUUAAAAGAUAUGACAUUGACCUGGUGAGAAGGAUAGCUAGAAAAUGAGGGAUACUGUGCUUAAAGAAAUUAUUGGAGGUGCUUUGAGUAAAAGUUAGAAUUCCAACUGAAAAAACCAGUCUUUUAUGCAUAGAGACUCCCCACUCACUGUUCCACCCGAUUUUUUGCUUUUCAAUGCUACCCCAAUUUCUGUUUCAUAUAUAUAUAUAUAUACAUAUAUUUUAAUGUCAGAGGAACCUCCAAUUCCAACAAUGUUUUUGUUAGAGUGUGUGAUAUAUAUUGUGGGUGCAAAUCCUACAAUCUAUAGAUUUUAGGAAAAUUAGUUGUCUAACAUGGUCUCGGAGUGUUUGGAAGGAGGUCAUGUGUUCAACUCACCAUAUAUUUAUUUCCUCAAUUUGUUAAACCCAAAAGAGGCUACUUUAUUUACCCAAUUUAUUAAGCCCACAUGUAAGCCCAAAAAGAGGCUACCCUUGAGGGAGGGUGUUAGAGCCCACAAUAUAAAUUGUGGAACCAAAUCCUACAAACUUAAACUUCUAGGAAAAUGGUUGUUUAAUAGUUUUAAUUUAUUUAUUUUUUCCUUACACUCGGCAAAUUAUAACUGUUGUUGCUUAGUUCUGUAGUUGCCAUCUAAUUUUCUGAUAAAUUGACAAUCAUUUUUUCUUUGAGAACAGAAGAUAAGAAAGUAUCCUUUUCUGUGCAAGCAGCAUCUAUAUAUGUAUAUAUGUGUGUAUGUAUCCUGCCUUAUCCAUUUUUCACUGUUACUAUACUGGUUAACUGUUCUCCUUCAUUAUGGAAGAGUUACAUUCCUGGAUUCUCAACUGUCCUGUUCAUGUGAGGAAACAAAAUGGUCUGCACCUGGUAUAUUUGGAUCAAAUCAUGAUUGAAAUAGUCUAAUACCUCUCCCACUUGAUUGUGAUUCAAAUAAAAUCUUUAUUCAUUUAUUUUUCCUUUAACAGCUGGACUAGAUUCCACCCCAUGCCAGUCAAUCCCAACCUCAUAAGCUGAUACUUCUCUCUGAAAUGACUUUUUGUCCUACUUGUGUUCCACUAGUUCUACAUGCUUUCCAAUUUAACCUACGCUUUUGUCAUGAAAUCUGUUGUCAUAUGUUCAAGGUAUUUCACAAAUUUUGUCUCACCUCCUACCAUAUCUCUUAAGAGAAGUUGCUAAUAUGAUAUGGAGCUUUUAUCUACUAUUGAUCAAACAAAUAAGAAAAUUAUUAUCAGCCUUUUAUCUACUAUUGAUUAAAGAAAUAAGAACCUUAUUAUCAGAGUACAUGUAUGGUUCUCAUGGUUAUACCUGCUCAAAGCAUUAUCUAGAUGGCUAAUGCAGGUUUUCACCCAUUCUUCAUCCAUUGACACCAGUUUGCUUUAGCUAGUGAGUUUUUAUAUUUCCACCUAAUUCCAAUGCAUGACUGCUUCAUGAUUUUGACUUCUCAGAUCUUUACCAAAAUCUGCAUUCGAGCACUUUCCGUUGUACAAACUAUUAUUUCAUUCAUUCAUUUCUUCGAGUGUAUUUUUGUGAUCAGACAGUUCAUUGAGUGUAUUAAAAAAUCCUUUCCUCCAUUUGCUAAUGUCCUUUUGGAUGGGCCUAAUGCUUACUAGCUCUACUGUUGCAUCUAUCUUCCACAACAUGGAGACACGGUGUGGGUUUGAUAUGACACUAAUGUGUUGACAUAACAGUGUUUUAGAGAAGUAUGAUGUAGACUUAGAUGCAUGCAGAGAAAUAAGUCAAUAGUAGCUCAUUUAGAUUCACCUAUAAAGCUGCUCUUCUCCAACAUUCUAAUUAUCUUGACAAAAAUUAUUGUUCUCUUGUUUUCUUUGCUCUUCUAAAACUUUUCUUCACAGUUCUUCUAUAAAUUGCUUCACUAUUCUAUGGUUAUAUUUCUGAAAUCUAAGUUGUGCAUAAGUUCAUAUUAGUCUUGGACCUGUGCAUGGAGAAGGUGUGGCGGUGACCCUGUUGAGUUCAUGGCUAUAAACUGCUACUAUUUUACACUUUCAGAACAAGCCAGCCAUUGUUGACCUAAUUUAUUUUAUAUGAGAACCCAAAGUUAUUGGCUACAGUUUGACUAUUCAUGUACUAUUAAUUGUACUGUAAAUAUAAUGUUUGUCUAAACUAUUUAUUUGUUAUAACGUGAAAGAGUGAAUUAAAGUGAUGUUGAGGAAGGGUAUUAGGGAGAGGGCAUGAUCAGUUUAGUGCUCAUUGUGGGUUCGGAGUAGGUAAUGGGUGGUGACUACAUGAUGCUUGGUGUGGAGAAAGAAAUCUUAAGUAGAUAUUCUUUGGUUUGUUUGUGUUGGUGGAGAAUAAGGAGGUUUGAGUGGUGGACUAUUAUUCCAGGAGGAUGCAUGUCAGCAUUGAUGGUUGGAAUUAAUUAUAGAGUUCCAUGAUUGGGAGAUGGAGGAGUGGGUAUCCCUUUCAGCUUAUAUCUAAGCAGAAGAAUUUCUUGAGAUAGGGACUGCCAUUAACUUUGGCAACUGUAUGUGCCAAAAAAAGGUUGGGAGAUUGAGGAGUGGGUAUCCCCUUUAGCUUAUAUCCAAGCAGAAGAAAUUUCUUGGGAUAGGGACUGCCAUUGACUUUGGCAACUCUAUGUGCCCAAAAAAGAGUUUAUAGUUAUUUGUACUUAUAAUAAACAAAUAAAAGAUCGGGGUAGUGGGGUUCUCAACCAAAGAAACUUAGGAUUCCAGUUUAUAGAGAAGAAAUAGUGGGUUUAGUUCCUUUGCAAAUGCUAAGAUUUAUGGUGCAAGAAUAAGUUGACUCAUAUUAUCUUGACUUAGUUCUGAUUCCUGUAUUUUUCUUUUUAAGGUUCUUCUACUAGUUGUACCAAAGAGAACCUAGCAAAAUCUUCAUUUAAAAACCAUUUCCAUUCUAUAGAUUUUUUUCCUCUUGCUUUCUCUUGGGGUUCAGCUGCACCCUUUAUUGUGAUUCUAGUACAGUUUUUUUACUUAUAUAGAACCAUGUGGCUACAUCAUUAUCAUAUUAAGUAAUUUUUAUGCAUGUUGUCAACUUGAAGACAUUUUGCAUAAAAUUUUCCACCUCUUCCAGUAGGUAAAAUUUCAUCUUUAGAAGGUUUUAUCUUUUUCUUUUUGAUAGACACAACCACAUAUAUCAUAUUUUUGUUAGUUGUGGGUGCAUAAAACACAUUAGUCAAAAUUAAAUGUCUUUUCUUACUUCUGAUAAAAAAUGUCUUUUCUUACUUUAAUAUGUCUAAUCAUAUAAACCACACUAGGUAUUGUCCUGAAUGACAAACAGUGUUUUUCUGGUGAAAUAUCUCUCUGGUGAAGCUUUCUCAACUCUGAGUUGAUUCACAUUCAAUAUUGUAGAACCGUUUUAUCUUGGCUGUUUAACAGAAGGUGAUCAACCCAAAUCUCAAAUGAUAAACGGUUGCUACUACCUUCUCCACUUUACGCACUGAGAACUUUGGUCUGUUAUGCUGUUCUAUCAAGAAUGAGUAGUUGAAGUCUAGCAGCAGUUUCCUUCACAGAUAUCUUUUGCUCAAUCUGUUACUUGUAUAUUUGAGUUAGUCGCUCAUUUUUUACACACAUGUUGCAUUCGAAUAGCAUAGAAGAAUUGCUAGUUCAAUGGCAUUGGUUUGUCAUUCCAUUGAUCUUGAUUUCAAGUGCCUUCCUUUACAUUUUAAAGAUUUAAUCUUCAGUUUUCUAAUUCAAACAGGCUAAAUUUAGCCCAUCCUAAACCAUGUAUAAUGGGCCAAGUGCAAUUUGUGAUUGUGAAUGGGGCUUAGGCUAGUUUGGCUCAGCUUGGUCUGUGCUCGGCUCAGUGAUGAGACAUUCACUGGUAAGCUAGUGACAUCAGGAAUAUGUUGGCAGCAAUGCACACACAGAGGAUACAGAUCCCAAGCCAGAGCUUGAACCCAUGUGCAUUAGUGAUAGGAAAGGUGGCCAUUGCACCAGAUCCAUGAAACUAAGGAAAGAAAAGAUCAUGUAGCUUCAUAGACUCCUUUUCAAUGAGUUACAUAUACACACACAUAUAUCUAAUGCAGAGUCAAACUUUCCCGUCUACUUGAGCUACUUGAUGUAUUUGAUAAUCCGUGGAAUAAAAUUAUAGCAUCUGGGUAUUUGUCUCUCU